rnacentral:rRNA from 1 species
UACGUAGGGUGCAAGCGUUGUCCGGAAUUAUUGGGCGUAAAGAGCUCGUAGGCGGUUCGUCGCGUCGGCUGUGAAAACCUGAGGCUCAACCUCAGGCCUGCAGUCGAUACGGGCGGACUUGAGUACUGCAGGGGAGACUGGAAGUUCCUGGUGUAGCGGUGAAAUGCGCAGAUAUCAGGAGGAACACCGGUGGCGAAGGCGGGUCUCUGGGCAGUAACUGACGCUGAGGAGCGAAAGCGUGGGGAGCGAACAGG